ensembl:misc_RNA Metazoa_SRP Metazoan signal recognition particle RNA
GCUGGGCACAGUGGCACAUGACUGUAGUCCCAGCUACUCAGGAGGCAGAGGUAGGAGGAUCACUUGAGCCCAGGAGUUCUGGGCCGUAGUGCGCAAUGCCAAUCGGGUGUCCGAACUAAGUUUGGCAUAAAUAUGGUGACCUCCCAGGAGCGGGGGACCACCAGGUUGCCUAAGGAGGGGUAAACUGGCUCAGGUCAGAAACGGAGCAGAUCAAAACUCCUGUGCUGAUCAGUAGUGGGAUCGCACCUGUGAAUAGCCACUGCACUCCAGCCUGGGCAACAUAGCGAGACCCCAUCUCUU